AUGAUGGACUGUAGAACAGGACUGCUGCUGCUGCUGGCUGCUGGAUCCUGUGUGAAGUGUGAACAGCUGACUCAGCCAGCCUCUGUGACUGUGCAGUCAGGUCAGCGUCUGACCAUCAGCUGUCAGGUCUUUUAUGAUUUCCGCAUAUAUAUAUAUGCAACAUUUUGGAUCAGACAGCCUGCAGGAAAAGGACUGGAAUGGAUCGGGUGGAAAUCUAUUAGAGACUCUCACUAUGAAGAGUCGCUGAAGAACAAGUUCAACAUUGAUUUAGACCCUUCCAGUAAAACAGUGACUCUGAUUGGACAGAACAUGCAGCCUGACGACUCUGCUGUGUAUUACUGUGCCAGAGAGCCACAGUGGCACAAACAUCAGAACAGCUGA